ACUCUCGGUAAUGGAUAUCUCAGCUCUCGCAUCGAUGAAGAAUGUAACGAAAUACAAUACUUGUUGUGAAUUGCAGAAUCCCGUGAACCAUCGAGUCUUUGAACGUAAGUUGUACCCGAAGCCAUUAGGUUGAGGGCACGCCUACCUGGGUGUCAUGCACCAUCGUCCCCCUUCGACCUUCUACCGGUCGGGCUCCGGGGGAAGGGGGCGGGCAGAAGAUGGCCUCCCGCGAUCCCGUCGAUCGCGGUUGGCCCAAAAGUGAGUCCUUGGCAAUGACAGCGCCGUGACCGUCGGUGGUAGAGCUCCCGACGCGCCUCAUCCCUAGUGAUGUGCUUUUGUUGUCCACCUGGACCUCGUCGGACCCCCCGUAUCGCUUGGUCGAUGCUCGCGUCAUGACCCCAGGUCGACGGGAUCACUCGUUGAGUUUAAGCAUAUCAAUAAGCAGAGGGAAAGAAACUUACCAGGAUUUCCCUAGUAACGGUGAGUGAACCGAGAAGAGCCCAGCUUGAGAAUCGGGUGCCUCCGACAUUCGAAUUAUAGUUUGGAGAAGCGUCCUCAGCGACGGAUCGGGCCCAAGUCCCCUAGAAAGGGGCACCGUAGAGGGGGAGAGCCCCGAUGUGCCUGGACCCUAUCGCACCACGAGGCACUGUUCAUGAGUCAGGUUGUUUGGGAAUACAGCCCCAAUCGGGUGGUAAAUUCCAUCCAAGGCUGAAUACGGGUGAGAAACCGAUAGCGAACAAGUACCACGAGGGAAAGAUGAAAAGGACUUUGAAAAGAGAGUCAAAUAGUGCUUGAAAUUGUUAGGAGAAAAGUGGAUGGGGGUCGACGAUGCGCCCCAGUCUGAUGUGGAACGGUGAGAGCCGAUCCAUCGAUCGGCUCGGGGCAUGGACCGACGCGGGUCAUGGCGAUGGCCUAAGCCCGAGCUUUCGACGUGCCCACGGAGAUGUCAUCGUCGUGAUCAUGGAAUGCAGCACAUGUCGUCUCGGCAUGCCUCGGCACCCGCGUGCUCCUAGCAUUAGCCUACGGGCUCCCCAUCUAGCCCAUCUUGAAACACGACCAAAGAGUCUGACAUGCAUGCGAGUCAACGGGCCAAAAAACCCGUAAGGCACAAGAAAGCUGAUUGGUGAGAUCCCUUACGGGUGCACCGUCAAUCGACUUUGAUCUUUUGAGAAGGGUUUGAGUGCGAGCAUGCCCGUCGGGACCCGAAAGAUGGUGAACUAUGCCUGAGUGGGGCAAAGCCAGAGGAAACUCUGAUGAAGGCCCGUAGCGAUACUGACGUGCAAAUCAUUCGUUUAACUUGGGUAUAGGGGCGAAAGACUAAUCGAAUCGUCUACUAGCUGGUUCCCUCCGAAGUUUCCCUCAGGAUAGUUGGAGCCCCCGUCGAGUUCUAUCGGGUAAAGGUAAUGAUUAGAGGCAUCGAGGGCAUAACGCCCUCGACCUAUUCUCAAACUUUAAAUAGGUAGGACAGCGCGGCUACUUCGUUGAGUAGUGCCAGGGAAUCGAGAGCUCCAAGUGGGCCAUUUUUGGUAAGCAGAACUGGCGAUGUGGGAUGAACUAGAAGCUGGGUUAUAGUGCCUAACUGCGUGCUAACCCAGAACCCACAAAGGAUGUUGGUCGAUUAAGAUAGCAGGAUGGUGGUCAUGGAAGUCAAAAUCCACUAAGGAAUGUGUAACAAGUCACCUACUGAAUCAACGAGCCCCGAAAAUGGAUGGCGCUUAAGCGCGUGACCUAUACUCGAUCGUCAGGGCAAGGGCCAGGCUCCGAUCAGUAGAAGGGUGUGAUGGUGACCACAAAACUUGGGGCACGAGCCCGGGCAAAGCGACCAUCGGUGCAGAUCUUGAUGGUAGUAGCAAAUAUUCAAAUGAGAACUUUGAAGGUCGAAGAGGGGAAAGGUUCCAUGUGAACGGCACUUGCACAUGGGUUAGUCGAUCCUAAGAGACGGGGAAGCCCAUCUGACAGUGCAUCCCACACGAGUUUCGAAACAGAAUCAGGUUAAAAUUCUUGAACAGGGAUACGGUGGCUAACGGCAACGUUAGGGAGUCCGGAAACGGCAACGUUAGGGAGUUCGGAGACGUCAAUGGAGGCCUCAAAAAGAGUUAUCUUUUCUAUUUAACGGCCUGUCUACCCUAGAAACGACUCACUCGAAAGUAGGGUCCAGCGGCCAGAAGAGCACCAUACGUCACGUGGUGUCUGAUGUGCCUCCGGUGGCCCUUAAAAAUUUGAAAGACCGAGUGCCGUCUGCCCGAUCGUACUUAUAACCGUAUCAGGUCUCCAAGGUAAACAACCUCUGGUCGAGGAACAAUGUAGGCAAGGCAAGUCGGUAAAAUGGAUCUGUAACCUUGAGAAAAAGAUUGGCUCUGAAGGCUGGGUACGGGGGUCCCAGUCCUGAACCCGUCGGUUGCUGGCGCACUGCUAGAGCUAUUCCCGUGGCGAGAACUGGUCAUCGCAUGUCGACUGUGGGACGGACUGAGAACGGCUCCCUCGGGGGCUUUCCCCAGGCAUCGAACAGUCGACUCAGAACUAGUAUAAACAAGGGGAAUCUGACUGUUUAAUUAAAACAAAGCAUUGAGAUGGUCCCUGUGGAUGCUUAUGCAAUGUGAUUUUUGCCCAGUGCUCUGAAUGUCAAAGUGAAGAAAUUCAACUAAGCACAGGUAAACGGCGGGAGUAGCUAUGACUCUCUUAAGGUAGCCAAAUGGCUCGUCAUCUAAUUAGUGAUGCGCAUGAAUGGAUUAACGAGAUUCCCACUGUCCCUGUCUACUAUCCAGUGAAACCACAGCCAACAGAACGGGCUUGGCAGAAUCAGCGGGGAAAGAAGACCCUGUUGAGCUUGACUCUAAUCUGACUUGGUGAAAUGACUUGAGGCAAUAACAGGUUUGUGAUGCCCUUAGAUGUUCUUGGCCGCACGCGCGCUACACUGAUGUAUUCAACGAGUCCAUAGCCUUGGCUAAUAGGCCCGGGUAAUCUUUGAAAUUUCAUCAUGAUGGGGAUAGAUCAUUGCAAUUGUUGGUCUUCAACGAGGAAUUCCUAGUAAGCGCGAGUCAUCAGCUCGCAUUGACUACGUCCCUGCCUUUGUACACAUCGCCCGUCGCUUCUACCGAUUGAAUGGUCUAGUGAAGUUUUCAGAUCGCGAUGAUGUGGAUGGUUCACCGCCCAUGACGUCGUGAGAAGUCCACUGAACCUUAUCAUUUAGAGGAAGGAGAAGUCGUAACAAGGUUUUCAUAGGUGAACUUGCGGAAGGAUGACCCAUGGAUGAUCCACUCGACGGACGACCCACAGACUCAUUAACGAAACAUCGAGGGGGCAAGGGUGCCCCUAUGCCUCGAGCCCCUUUCGACCCCAGGCGGGCGUGACGGUAGAUUCAUCCCACCUACGGGGCGGGCAAAACGAUAGGUGUCAGCUCGUUCGUUGU
rnacentral:rRNA from 1 species